rnacentral:tRNA from 1 species
CAAAUUAUAACUAAUAUAAGUAUUUUAUUUACAUUAAAAUAAUAGUUGUUAAAUUCAACUUAAUUUGA